AAUCAACUAUUUACACCUCGAAGUAAAAGUGUACUGGCUUUAAUUCCCACUCUUGAAAUAUUAUUCCAGUAGAUUUUCAGAGAAUUAAUUUCUACCAUGCUUUUGAGUAUAAGGCAAGAGGAACACAAGCUGAACUUUGCUCACCAGAAAUUAAAGCUAACCAAAGCCUCAAAAUUCACCUUGUGCGUGCAAUAAAGCCGAACGAAUCGAAUUCAGGAUAUAAAGCCUCUCAACGUAUGAAAAAAGACUCCGACC